CAGAGAUAUAUGGUAUUCGAGCUUAUUAAUAAUCGUUACGUAUGAUUAUGUUGUUUGAAUAUUAGGUCCAUGGAUGUGUCAGGGUUGGCGACGGAAGGUACGGGUUGUGUGAUGGACCUGCCGGGACUUGGGGGCGGGGCAAGGGGCGUGGCCUGGCGCGUGAGGGCCGGGGAAGGGAACAGCCAAGAUGGCGGCCGGGCAGUGGCCCAUGUACAUGCUGGACUACGGCGGCCUCAAUGUUCCGCUUCCGGGAGCCAUGAAUUAUUCGGACCUCAGUUUCUGAACCAGAACCUCUGAACAAAAGAAAACAAAAGAAAUAAUGAACGGUGUGUAAUUUUCAUUUGUACAAAGUGUAUAUUAUUCCAAUAUGUAUUGAUGCCUUUCAGUUUUUCCAAUGAUUUUUACACUAUAUUCCUGCUGCCAGGGCCUUUUUAAAUAAAAAAAGAAUAAGAAGGGUUGCCUUGCUCUGAAAAAUCAAA